GCCGAAGUGGCGGAAUUGGUAUACGCGACGGUCUCAAAAACCGUUCCCCGCAAGGGGUUGAGAGUUCGAGUCUCUCCUUCGGCA
rnacentral:tRNA from 2 species